ACAAACUAGCCAAAAUAGGUUGAACUAAACUGGUAUCAACAACACAAACUCAAAUCUAUUUUGAACAUCACAAACUCAAAGUUGUUUUCAACAACAGUCAGACAUCAUGAAAUUACUUCUUGUUGCUGCCCUGAGAACAACUAAACCACUCAGACAUCUUAUAAGAUGGUUUUUCUCAGCCUUCCAGUACAUGAAGCUCUUGGUGGUAUGAAGCUUUUCUUUGCCCUUUGCUUAGCAACGGUAGUAGAUGAUCCUGAAGUAGAAGCAGCAGCAGUAGAUGCAGUUGUCCUAGAAGCAGCAGUAGUAGAUGAUCCUGGAGUAGAAGCAGUAGUACUAGAUGCAGUUGGCCUAGAAGCAGCAGCACUAGAUGUAGUUGGCCUAGAAGUAGCAGCAGCAGUAGAAGUACUUGAUCUCCUAGCUGCAGCAAGAGCUGAUGGAGCUGCCCUAGGUGCUGGUGGAGUUGUACUUCUUGCCCUGGAUGGUGCUCGAGCUGUUGUAGCUUGCCUUGGUGUUGAUGCAUCAACUCUUCUGUUUUCCUACAGUCAAAACAUAUAAAUAUUAUAAGAUAGUAUAAGAAAUGUUACCAUAAACUGAUGUUUGGGAAGUUUGGACAAUUUGGGAUUUAUUGUGGGGCUCGGAAAAUGGGAAGCGCAAGACUCAUUGGCUCAGUUGGGACAAGAUGACAAGGACGAAAGGGCAAGGUAGCAUCGGGUUCAGAGACAUGAGGAUUUUCAAUCAGGCAUUCCUCGCACGUCAAACAUGGCGACUGCCACAGGCUCCUGAAAGUCUAUGUGCCCGGGUGUUGAAGGCGCGCUACUAUCCGCAAGGAAACCUCUUGGACACAGCCUUCACCGGGUAGUCAUCGUCCACCUGGACGGCCAUUGCCCAUGGCUUGGAGCUGCUAAAACAAGGCAUGAUAUGGCAUAUCAGGAAUGGGCAAUCAGUCUGCAUCUGGCGGGAUAAUUGGUUGCCACGCUCUACCUCGCUCAAACCAAUUGCCCCACAUGGUCGAUCGAGACUCAUCGAGGUCUCUAGUCUGCUGGAUCAGUAUGGUGUGUGGGAUGAGGCUGCUGUGUGGGUGAACUUUGCACCGAUUGAUGCCAGUACAAAACUCAAAAUCCGCACCUCACCGCGUGGUGAUCCGGACAUCCUCGCUUGGCAGCCAGAGAAAAAUGGAAUAUUUACCGUCCGUAGUGCCUACAAACUAGGUCUGAAUCUCACGGAGAGCGCACGGAAUGUGACGGAUUCGAGCAAUAGCCCAAUGGAGAUCGCCAAAAUCUGGAAGAAGAUCUGGAACCUACACGUACCUCCUAGGGUCCGGACGUUUGCAUGGCGUGCAAUCACAAACUCACUAGCAACGGAGGACAACAAGAAGGGCCAUCAUAUCCCUAAUAGGCCUCGUUUGGUUAAUAGGCCUCGUUUGGUUAAGGGGGAUUGGGAAGGUUUUAAGAGAGAGGGAUUUCAAGGGAUUGAGUGAAUCUCUUUGUUCCACCCAAUC
rnacentral:lncRNA from 1 species